ensembl:lncRNA
UGCUGCCUCGAAGAGAGAAACAUACUCCAAGACAAUCCUCAAGAGCUAGCAUGAGAGUAAACAAUGCCUGAAAGAGAGCUCAAUUUGGAAGAGUUUCUUCCUUCAGGUAAUGCUAUUUGUCAGGAGAAUUGUAGGUUUUGAUGCCUAAGAAGUCUUUUGGUGAAGAAGUAGGAGCUCCUGGAUGAAGAUAAAGCCAAAGAUGGAGAAGCUCUAUAGAGUCAGCAAAAACAAGACUGGGAGCUGACUGUGGCUCAGCGUUCAUCGAGGAAAAUAAAUGUGUUGGGCAUGUCAAUUUAUUCUACAAAUGAAUAAAAUAUCUGCACUGAGCAGGGAAUGGUUUUUAUAUUUCUGAAAUUCAUGGAAGGCACUCAGAAACUGCAUCCAAAAGGCUUCUUCCUCCUGUGCAAGCCUCCAGCCAAAGCAGGAAAACAACUGCUCAGGAUCGUUUUUUUCUAGAUGCUGAAGCUUGCUACAGAACUGCUUGUGUAUUUUUACCCCAUCUUAGACUCGACUGAAUCUGCUACACAAACUAAAUGAAGAUGAAAUAUCACCUUCUUUGAUUAUCAGUAAAUAGUUCACAAAUUAACACUAAACUGCAAAUGAGGGAAUAAUGUGUCUUUUUGAGAAAACCAGAUGCUUUCUCUUCUGUAGUACGUGCGAUAACA